UACAGAGGUCCCAAGCGUUGUUCGGAUUCAUUGGGCGUAAAGGGUGCGUAGGCGGCGCGGUAAGUCGGGUGUGAAAUCUCCGAGCUCAACUCGGAAAUGGCAUUGGAAACUACCCUGCUAGAGGGUCGGAGGGGGGACUGGAAUACUUGGUGUAGCAGUGAAAUGCGUAGAUAUCAAGUGGAACACCAGUGGCGAAGGCGAGUCCCUGGACGACUCCUGACACUGAGGCACGAAAGCUAGGGGGAGCAAACAGG
rnacentral:rRNA from 1 species